rnacentral:ncRNA from 1 species
UAAGUAUUCCGCCUGGGGAGUACGGUCGCAAGAUUAAAACUCAAAGGAAUUGACGGGGACCCGCACAAGCAGCGGAGCAUGUGGUUUAAUUCGAAGCAACGCGAAGAACCUUACCUAGACUUGACAUCUCCUGAAUUACUCGUAAUGGAGGAAGCCCUUCGGGGCAGGAAGACAGGUGGUGCAUGGUUGUCGUCAGCUCGUGUCGUGAGAUGUUGGGUUAAGUCCCGCAACGAGCGCAACCCUUAUCGUUAGUUGCUACCAUUAAGUUGAGCACUCUAACGAGACUGCCGCGGUUAACGUGGAGGAAGGUGGGGAUGACGUCAAAUCAUCAUGCCCCUUAUGUCUAGGGCUACACACGUGCUACAAUGGCCGGUACAACGAGAUGCAAACCCGUGAGGGGGAGCCAAACUUCAAAGCCGGUCCCAGUUCGGAUUGUAGGCUGAAACUCGCCUACAUGAAGUCGGAGUUGCUAGUAAUCGCGAAUCAGCAUGUCGCGGUGAAUACGUUCCCGGGUCUUGUACACACCGCCCGUCACACAUGAGAGCCGGUAACACCCGAAGUCCGUGAGGUAACCUUUAUGGAGCCAGCGGCCGAAGGUGGGAUUGGUGAUUGGGGUGAAGUCGUACAAAGGUAGCCGUAGGAGAACCU